GAGAGAAGCUCUUUUCGCCUAAACAUUCAUUGCUAUCCAUCUCAGGUAGCGAUAGCCAUCGUCCCUCACCUAUAUUCCUCAUAGCCAUAGACGAGAGAAACACAUAAAAAACGAAAGAGACCCUCCCAAACACAAAGGACCAGAUUGAAACGUUGUUGGUUAUUUGUCAACGGCUCCGAUUUUGGAGUCAAAUUUCAGUCUGAAUUUUGAUGUUGAAAUGGAGCCGGUUUAAGUCGAUGUGCAGGUUUCGAUUCGCAUUGUUGUUGAUUUCUUCUCGUUGAUACUCGAUUUUAAAUGUUGUUGCUCUUCGUUUGGACAUAACUGUAAGGACGAAGCUUUAUUUAAUUUGGAAAGAAUUUUCGCUAUUGAGGUCUGAUUCUUCAUUUCCCUUUCACUCUGUUCUAUGUUCAUCUUUAUGUUAUUUUGGAAAUGUGAUUCAAUGCCUGUUGCCCAUAUUUUUGGUGUUUCUUUUGAUGUGUCGUUUUAACAGUUAGUACAUGGAUCUGUUUUUUUGGUUUGAGCAAAUCAGUUAAGGAAGGUAGGUAGUUCUGAUUCAGUUAUGGGUUUUUUGCUUUGUUGAAAGGUUUAUUUCGUAUACGUUGGUUUGAGUUUCACUGUUUGCAAUGUUCUGUUGAACCUAGAAUGAUACCUUGCUUGAUUUCAGCAUAUUGCAUUUCUUUAUUGCGCUUGGCCAAAGAAUUUUAUUAGCAUUUUAAAAUCCUAUGUUAACGAACUGAUGUAGUAUUUAUGUAAAUAAGAUCUUGAUUCUCUCUCUGUGUUAGUCUUGAAGUGGAAAGAGCAGAGAGAAACCUUGAGAGGUUUAGUUAAUUGAAUUAAGGAUAUCAUGCUUCUAACAUCAAUAAUUUCUAGUUAAGCUCAAAAGUGUUUCAACUAUAGAGAUUCUGUAGAUUUAAUGCCUCAUAUGUGGUUCUUGUUUUCAUUCGCGUCACAUGUUCGAUGAAGUAAUAUGAAAAUCCUUGUGCAUUUAUACUAAUAUUUUGUCAUAUAGUUUAAGCUUCUUCGUGCUUAAGAGUAGUCCACCAUAUCGUGGUGUGCUUUGGAUAAUAAAUUGAUUUUGUGCGCUUUGUGAAUUAUCUGGGAAAAUAACGGGAUGAGUGAGAUGUGUGCGUUAAGAAAUAGGUAGUUAACAUGGUCAUAAUUUCAGUUCUAAAGAUAAAAUGCAAUUGCUAAUGAGUUAAUUGGGUAUUUUAAAAGUCCUGUAAUGGCUCAGAUUCACUUUUACUGUUGCUAAGUUUCGUUUCAUAUUCUCUGAUUUUCAUUUCUUUAAUUGUUCUGGAUGCUUACAUAUUGUCACUUUCUUUUGGUCGGUUGUGAUUAACAUGAAAUUGUUUUGAAUUGUGUCAUGGGAAUUGGGAAGAGGCUGAGCCAUUUGUAAUUAACUUUUUCAUGUCCUUUAGGAAUAAGGCUUGGUUAAAUGCAUGAAAUAAUAAGUUAAAACGAAAUGAGCUUGAAACUUAGUAAAAGUACUCUAUAAUUACGGGCCUUUUUCACACACAAUCAUUAAAUUGGGAAUUACAUAACUCACUAAUAUCGUAGUUUGUUUUAGGUGCAAUUAAUAAAUAAAUUAUCAUGACUAUGAGUACGGUUCCCAUGAUAUAGUUAUGAUGCCUGAUUUUCAAAAUUCAGGUGCACAUUUAUGUGACCCAAAUCCAAAUCUCGACAACGUUAAAUAAAGUGUGUUGCGGACUGCGGGUGCAUUUAUGUGACGUGGUUCAAGACAUAUUUUAUAUGACGUAAUUUUCUUUUAAAAAAGAAUAAAAUCGGUUAUAGGUUUAAAAUUGCCAUAGGCUAAAACAUGUACUAAGAUCAGAUAAUACGCCAUUUAUAACAGUUGAGCGACCGUGCUAGAACCACGGAAUCCGAGAGUGCCAAACACCUGCUUACGGGUUAACAGAAUUCCUUACUCGGAUUUCUAGUUCGCGGACUGUAAUACAAAUUCAACCAUUUCCUCGAUUCAGGAUUUAAACCGGUGACUUGGGACACCAUAAAUCUCCCAAGUGGCGACUCUGAAAUUUUAAACAAAUAAUCUCGUUUCGAUUAUCACUUUAAGUUGAAAAAAAACUCUCAAUAUACUCCCUUUGCGAGGGUGUGUGAAAAGGAGGUGUGACAGCUGUGGCGACUCAGCUGGGGAUGAAACCUAGAAUCUCAGGUUCUAGGUUCAAGAAUUCGAGCUUAGAUGAAUUGUUAUAUUUGCCUUUAUGUGUUAUCUAAUUUUGCUACAUGUUUGGGCCUAAUGUGCUACCGUUUUGAUAUCAUGUGAACUAUAUAUGAACUGUUACGAAGCCUUUCUCUUCUCAUCUUCAGGGAUGUGCUCGCAGGUCGAGAAUCUCUAUUUUGUUAGCGUCAUACCUUAAAAUAAGAAAGAGGCUUGGACAAGUUACUAAGUCGGAUGGUUUUUUUGUUCCCGGUACGUAGCCCACUCCUCGACUCGAGUUGUCUGUUUGGGUACACUAGUCUAAAACAGAUGCCUAGGUUUUAAACCUAGAAUAACUCAUCCUCAUGCCGGAUCCCCAG
rnacentral:lncRNA from 1 species